rnacentral:tRNA from 1 species
GCUCCCGUAGCUCAGGUGGAUAGAGCAGUAGUUUCCUAAACUAUGUGCCAGAGGUUCGAGUCCUCUCGGGAGCA